UUUAAAUACAAAUAUUGUCUUCUAGACAAUAUCCACACGCAAAUAAGUCCUCAUUACAAUUAUUCAAAUACUAUUUUAUAGAAAUAGAGAGGACUGCUAAAACAUCUUCCUAGAACCAUCACUCCAUACCCCGACUCGAUCCUGCUAUGUUCUCACCUCCUGAGAAGAAAAAUGGAACAAAAAGGAAAGGGUGAGCUCAACUAGCCCAGUAAAGAAUAUUAUGACUAAGAUAAUAUACAACAAAUUAUCGUUAGUCUUCAACAGGGAAAAAUCUGAUAAAAUAUAAUAGACAACAAGUUUUAGAUCAACAAGUGCAGCGGAACAGCAAU
rnacentral:lncRNA from 1 species